rnacentral:rRNA from 1 species
CCCUUAGAUGUUCUGGGCUGCACGCGCGCUACAAUGGCGUUUCCAGCAAGUCUGCGAACCCGAGAGGGCCAGCGGAUCUUCGAAUUGGCGUCGUGAUCGGGACAGUCGAUUGCAAUUAUUUGACUCAAACGAGGAAUUCCUUGUAAUCGCGAUUCAUCAUAUCGCGCUGAAUACGUCCCUGCCCUUUGUACACACCGCCCGUCGCUCCUACCGAUUGAGCGAUCCGGUAAAUGUUUUGGAUUGGUGCCGGGGCGGCUAGCUGCCGGUCGCUACGAAAUUUUGUGAACCUUAUCGCUUAGAGGAAGGAAAAGUCGUAACA